rnacentral:rRNA from 1 species
GAUGAACGCUGGCGGCGUGCCUAAUACAUGCAAGUCGGGCGAACAGACGAGGAGCUUGCUCCUCUGACGUUAGCGGCGGACGGGUGAGUAACACGUGGAUAACCUACCUAUAAGACUGGGAUAACUUCGGGAAACCGGAGCUAAUACCGGAUAAUAUAUUGAACCGCAUGGUUCAAUAGUGAAAGACGGUUUUGCUGUCACUUAUAGAUGGAUCCGCGCCGCAUUAGCUAGUUGGUAAGGUAACGGCUUACCAAGGCGACGAUGCGUAGCCGACCUGAGAGGGUGGUCGGCCACACUGGAACUGAGACACGGUCCAGACUCCUACGGGAGGCAGCAGUAGGGAAUCGUCCGCAAUGGGCGAAAGCCUGACGGAGCAACGCCGCGUGAGUGAUGAAGGUCUUCGGAUCGUAAAACUCUGUUAUUAGGGAAGAACAAAUGUGUAAGUAACUAUGCACGUCUUGACGGUACCUAAUCAGAAAGCCAGGGCUAACUACGUG